GAUGAACGCUGGCGGCGUGCCUAAUACAUGCAAGCCGAGCGAACGGACGAGAAGCUUGCUUCUCUGAUGUUAGCGGCGGACGGGUGAGUAACACGUGGAUAACCUACCUAUAAGACUGGGAUAACUUCGGGAAACCGGAGCUAAUACCGGAUAAUAUUUUGAACCGCAUGGUUCAAAAGUGAAAGACGGUCUUGCUGUCACUUAUAGAUGGAUCCGCGCUGCAUUAGCUAGUUGGUAAGGUAACGGCUUACCAAGGCAACGAUGCAUAGCCGACCUGAGAGGGUGAUCGGCCACACUGGAACUGAGACACGGUCCAGACUCCUACGGGAGGCAGCAGUAGGGAAUCUUCCGCAAUGGGCGAAAGCCUGACGGAGCAACGCCGCGUGAGUGAUGAAGGUCUUCGGAUCGUAAAACUCUGUUAUUAGGGAAGAACAUAUGUGUAAGUAACUGUGCACAUCUUGACGGUACCUAAUCAGAAAGCCACGGCUAACUACGUGCCAGCAGCCGCGGUAAUACGUAGGUGGCAAGCGUUAUCCGGAAUUAUUGGGCGUAAAGCGCGCGUAGGCGGUUUUUUAAGUCUGAUGUGAAAGCCCACGGCUCAACCGUGGAGGGUCAUUGGAAACUGGAAAACUUGAGUGCAGAAGAGGAAAGUGGAAUUCCAUGUGUAGCGGUGAAAUGCGCAGAGAUAUGGAGGAACACCAGUGGCGAAGGCGACUUUCUGGUCUGUAACUGACGCUGAUGUGCGAAAGCGUGGGGAUCAAACAGGAUUAGAUACCCUGGUAGUCCACGCCGUAAACGAUGAGUGCUAAGUGUUAGGGGGUUUCCGCCCCUUAGUGCUGCAGCUAACGCAUUAAGCACUCCGCCUGGGGAGUACGACCGCAAGGUUGAAACUCAAAGGAAUUGACGGGGACCCGCACAAGCGGUGGAGCAUGUGGUUUAAUUCGAAGCAACGCGAAGAACCUUACCAAAUCUUGACAUCCUUUGACAACUCUAGAGAUAGAGCCUUCCCCUUCGGGGGACAAAGUGACAGGUGGUGCAUGGUUGUCGUCAGCUCGUGUCGUGAGAUGUUGGGUUAAGUCCCGCAACGAGCGCAACCCUUAAGCUUAGUUGCCAUCAUUAAGUUGGGCACUCUAAGUUGACUGCCGGUGACAAACCGGAGGAAGGUGGGGAUGACGUCAAAUCAUCAUGCCCCUUAUGAUUUGGGCUACACACGUGCUACAAUGGACAAUACAAAGGGCAGCGAAACCGCGAGGUCAAGCAAAUCCCAUAAAGUUGUUCUCAGUUCGGAUUGUAGUCUGCAACUCGACUACAUGAAGCUGGAAUCGCUAGUAAUCGUAGAUCAGCAUGCUACGGUGAAUACGUUCCCGGGUCU
rnacentral:rRNA from 1 species